GCUCCAAACCCGAACUGUACCUUAUAUGGGUCGCGUGCUGUAAGGCUAGGAUUUGGAAUUUUU
rnacentral:ncRNA from 1 species